CUCGGUCAAAGCUUUUCAUCUGCAACACCAUUUUAAUUCCCUUUGUUCCCUAGUUUAUGCCUCCUCUCUCUCUCUCUCUCUCUCUCUCUCUCUCUCUCUCUCUCUCUCUCUCUCUCUCUCUCCCACAUGUAUAAUGACUGUGGUUUAUUAUUGUUUCAUGUUUGGGGAAUAUCAUUUUUUUUGUUUCACUUCAACCUGUGACUUGGAGAUACAGUGGUAAACAACUUUCCUAUGUUGUCUUUUUCCUAUAUUCCAGCGGGAACGAGGAAGAAAUGAAACAAAACAAUCCUCCCGGAAAAUGAAGACAUGCCCUCCGUGGACGCUGACGCGUGAUCACCCUGCCAGUGGUACUCCAUCCGAUGAUGAGUAAUACCAGGAGCUGCCCGCCGUACCGGAUACUGCCCACAUUAAAGGCCCUGUGCGUCGAGAAUUCGUCAUGCUUUGAUGUGAAAGCGGUGGUUCUCUGCAUCACCUCUUGGGUCCCGAAGAACUACACUUGACCAAGAUGGGCCAUCAGAAAUCCAUUGCCAAACCAAAAAACAACACUUUUAUCAACAUUUGGCUUAUUUAAUGGUAUCGUCCUGAUACGAGAAGAUGAGGAUUUUAUUGUCCGUGGCAGCCCUGAUGGUUGAUGUGGAAGCGUGUGGACCUUAUCCCUUACCUCUGUCUGUACAGUCAGUCUUUAUACAAUUCACUUUGUUUUCGUAGUCAGAUUCAUUGAUGGAGGCGUGGCUAGACAGAUUUCAAUCGAGCGUGCCAUGGAAACUCCAACACCGUCC
ensembl:lncRNA